rnacentral:rRNA from 1 species
AUUGAACGCUGGCGGCAGGCUUAACACAUGCAAGUCGAGCGGUAGCACAAGAGAGCUUGCUCUCUGGAUGGCGAGCGGCGGACGGGAGAGUUAUGUCUGUGAAACUGCCUGAUGGAGGGGGUUAACUACUGGAAACGGUAACUAAUACCGCAUAACGUCGCAAGACCAAAGAGGGGGACCUUCGGGCCUCUUGCCUUCAGAUGUGCCCAGGUGGGAUUAGCUAGUAGGUGGGGUAAUGGCUCACCUAGGCGACGAUCCGUAGCUGGUCUGAGAGGAUGACCAGCCACACUGGAACUGAGACACGGUCCAGACUCCUACGGGAGGCAGCAGUGGGGAAUAUUGGACAAUGGGCGCAAGCCUGAUGCAGCCAUGCCGCGUGUGUGAAGAAGGCCUUCGGGUUGUAAAGCACUUUCAGCUAGGAGGAAGGUGGGUAACUUAAUACGUUCAUCAAUUGACGUUACUCGCAGAAGAAGCACCGGCUAACUUCGUG